UCCCAUCUUUUUCUUUACCAUGCCCCGUCUCUUUCUUCGUAUCUCUCUUCGCUGCACGACUCUUUCUUCGCCACAUCAGUGAUUUUGGUGAUCAUCGUUGGACUUGGGUUUAUAGAUCAGUGGUUUUGCUGCAACAGUGUUGGAUUUGGAUUUUGUGGCGUGGUUGAGAAGAUUGUGGUGUUUGUGGGAUUGGUUUCGAAUUUGUGUUUAAAGAUGGUUUUGGUAUCGGAUUUGGCGACGAAGGAGAUGCAAUCAGCACAGCUUUAGCUAGUGGCAUUAGCUUCGGUCGUGGUGGCGAUCAUUCAGUUUUGGUUUGUUGGGUUGUGUCUGUGUUGGUGGUAGUGCAAUUGUGUUAUGUUGUUAAGCCGUGUUGGUGAUGGUGGUGCGAUGAUUGUGUAGGCAGUGCUUUUGUUAAUGGUUGGACGGUGACUUUGUUGAUGUUUUGUGCGGUGAUUUUGGACAGGGGUUGGUAUGCUCGUGAUCUGGUGUGUUGGGUGGCGGUGUUGGAUCUUGAUUGUG
rnacentral:lncRNA from 1 species